UACGUAGGGGGCAAGCGUUGUCCGGAUUCACUGGGUGUAAAGGGCGCGCAGGCGGGUUAGCAAGUCAGAGGUGAAAUCCUACAGCUUAACUGUAGAACUGCCUUUGAAACUGUUAAUCUUGAGUGCGGAAGAGAGAGACGGAAUUCCAGGUGUAGCGGUGAAAUGCGUAGAUAUCUGGAAGAACACCAGUUGCGAAGGCGGUCUCUUGGUCCGUUACUGACGCUCAGGCGCGAAAGCGUGGGGAGCAAACAGG
rnacentral:ncRNA from 2 species